UGAUUGGGGACUAUGAUCCUAUAUUUUUGGAAAUACCGUAUGAUUUUGCAACCUUAUUGUGGGGAGAACAACUUCCAUAUGUCAAUGUCUUAAAAUUAUUGAUGAUGAUUUAUCUUAUGGAUCCUAAAAACAUCUCUCAUUCGUUGUUAAAGGUGAUUGAGGAAUAUGA